CUCUCACAGACCAAAGGAAGCCAUGGCCACAGUGCAUGUCGUAUCCUGCCCUCCCCGGCUUGGCAGCGAAUCGGGGAGCCCAGAGCACCAAAGUAAUAAAUUCACAUCUCCAUGUUUGGGCUUUUCCUCAGAAGGCUGCUGGUAAAUAUCCUUACUUUCCUGGCCAAGAACCCACUUUGCCUGGGGAUAUCGAUUUGUUGCUUCAGGUGAGGAUGUGAAGGAAAAAGAGUCGGGCCCUUCAAUUUAUCUUAUAGUUGCCAAGGUAAACAAUCUACAUUUUUUUCUUUCAGGCUUUCUACUUUGCCUCCUUCGAUGGAGAUGGAAUCAUAAAAGAGAAUGAUAAGUCAAUUUAGAAAUCAGAACGUCGACCCAAUGUACUCAAAUAUAGAGUAAGCAUUUCCUUACAAGUAUGAGGUAUGUUGUAAUUUUAAGUCUCGGAUUGAAUGUAUCCUUGCAACACUUGAUUAUGAUAUAACAGAGCUAGGUUGUAUGAUAUAACAUUUGUUAUGAUAUAAAUACAAUACUUAUUGUUGGAUUUUUUUAAUUUUUUUUUUGUGUAGAAUUUGGAAUCUCUUGUCUGUCCAAUUUGGAGUUGCUCAUCAAAGAGAGCCUGCAAAAAGCCAGUGGUAGCGAUCUCCGAGUUCAUUUUAAGGUACCCUGGAUCUUCAUGAUAAUGAAUGGAAUUUCAGACAUAU